rnacentral:miRNA from 1 species
AGCGCCCGUGUAAAAUAGUAUAGCCGUGCGGCUAUAAGUUAAAAAAUAUUUAAAAACUGAGUAUAGCCGUUCGGCUAUACUAUUUUUAAUAUAAAAA